rnacentral:rRNA from 1 species
GACGGACGCUGGCGGCGUGCCUAAUACAUGCAAGUCGAACGAGAGCAACCGGUGCUUGCACUGGUCAAUCUAGUGGCGAACGGGUGAGUAACACGUGGGUAACCUGCCCAUCAGAGGGGGAUAACAUCCGGAAACGGAUGCUAAAACCGCAUAGGUCUUCGAACCGCAUGGUUUGAAGAGGAAAAGAGGCGCAAGCUUCUGCUGAUGGAUGGACCCGCGGUGCAUUAGCUAGUUGGUGAGGUAACGGCUCACCAAGGCCGUGAUGCAUAGCCGACCUGAGAGGGUGAUCGGCCACAUUGGGACUGAGACACGGCCCAAACUCCUACGGGAGGCAGCAGUAGGGAAUCUUCCGCAAUGGACGCAAGUCUGACGGAGCAACGCCGCGUGAGUGAAGAAGGUUUUCGGAUCGUAAAACUCUGUUGUUAGAGAAGAACAAGUGCUAGAGUAACUGUUAGCGCCUUGACGGUAUCUAACCAGAAAGCCACGGCUAACUACGU